AUGGGCAUUCCUGUGAUGUCUGGAACACAGUGGCAAGUAUCUACUUCAGGGAAGUCCACGAUAGCCCAGUCUGAACUAGCAUCUUGGUGGUAUGUAAUUAGAGAAGAUGAGACAAGAAAUGCAGGAUGCCAUUUCACAGAAAUCUGAAGUGCUUCCUAGGGUUAGUAUGACAUCUGAAGUUCUGCAUAUUCCUUAAUGAUUUAAGAGCUCUGGUUUUCAGUGGCUGGAAGUCUGUAUGACAUCAAGCUUACUGACUUGUGGAGGGUUUCAGGGAGUUGUUUCAACUGUAUUUUAAUCUAGCAUUCACUCUAAGUGAAGAAUUUAUUUUAACUUUGAUUUGUCCAAAGAACACUCACAAAUUUCUCAGUCAAAAAGGAGGUGAUCAGCUUAACUGCUUCAACUGAUAGUAUUACUUGUACAAGUAAUUAAUUUAACACUUAGCAGGAAAGUUAUGUGGAGGAUUCUGUUUGAGUACAAUUUUGUAGUUAAUUCCCUUUGUUCU
rnacentral:lncRNA from 1 species